rnacentral:rRNA from 1 species
GCGGCCCGUACCCUAAACCGACUCAGGUGGUCAGGUAGAGAAUACCGAGGCGUUCGGGUGAACUAUGGUUAAGGAACUCGGCAAAAUGCCCCCGUAACUUCGGGAGAAGGGGGGCCACAUCCGGUGACGGCACUUGCUGCCGGAGCUGGGGGUGGCCGCAGAGACCAGCGAGAAGCGACUGUUUACUAAAAACACAGGUCCGUGCGAAGCCGUAAGGCGAUGUAUACGGACUGACGCCUGCCCGGUGCUGGAACGUUAAGGGGACCGGU